CUAGGUCUCGUGCUGGGCAGUUUGGACGUCGGUACACUGGGCAGCCUGCCCAUGUUUUUCAUACUUUCCUCAAGCUCUUCCUGCUCCAGCUCUUCCAGCUCGGCCAACAACUCAUCCUAAAGAUAGUACUGACUGUUCCCAGUGAUGGCUGCUUGUUAUAGGCUGGACGGCUAAAAUAUAAUAUCCAUCAAUACAUCAACAAGUCAUUCCAUCUGAAAUGUUCCAGUAAUUGUAAAUAAUUAGUAUAAGGUACAGUGCUAUAUUGCUUCAGGUCCUUCCACAACAUUUCUAUUGGAUUAAGGUCAGGGCUUUGACUUGGCCAUUCCAAAACAUUAACUUUAUUCUUCUUUAACCAUUUUUUUGUAGAAUGACUUGUGUGCUUAGGGUUGUUGUCUUGCUGCAUAGCCCACUUUCUCUUGAGAUUCAGAUCACAGCCAGAUGUAAUGACAUUUUCCUUAAAUUCGCUGGUAUAGUUCAGAAUUCAUUGUUCCAUCAAUGAUGACAAGCCUUCAUGGCCCAGAUGCAGCAAAACAGGCCCAAACCAUGAUACUACCACCACCAUGUUUCACAAAUGGAUAACACAAUAUUCUGUUCCUCUAUGCAGGAAUGGUGAGUGGGAUAAGAAGAAAAAUUGACUGGACUAUCAUACAUCAACAAACCAUUAAAUCAGUAAACCACUGGGAUUAGAAGAAACAUAUGACUGUUUCACUGAUGGUGGUACCUCAUCAAACUGCUCGCCGAAAGGCUGUGAAAUAGCACCGCUGAUUUCCUGAGCUAUUUGCUGCUGCUCUGUGAUGUCCUCCAUGAGAGAGUCGAUAUUAUCCAUAUCUCUGAAAAACAGACAAAGGCUCAAGGACCUCCGCGUUGGUGUUGGCAUUCUCUACUGCCUCCCGCUGAAACUCGAUGGUGGACAACGUCCCAUCAAUCUGAGUCAGCUGCUGCUCAAGACGCUUCUUCCUUUUCAGAGCCUGAAGUGCAGCUAGGCAACAAC